CGUACAGGCCAACGUGAUGCUGCUGCGCGGAACAAGCGCCGAGCUGAUUCUAGUGAAACCUGCCUCUUUAAGAAGACGCUCUCCUGUUGCACUGGGAGGUUGGCCGGUGUUUUUCCACACAUGGUCACCCAUUUUAAGAGACAAAGGUCAGAAAGAAAACCUUAUAAAUAACAUUUACCGCCGUAAGUCUCACUAUUCAACACGCCGUCCACCGUACUACACUGAAGGGACUGAUCAAUUCUAAAGGAAUAAAAUCAAUUCAAGCCAAUACAGGUAGGCAAAGGAAUCAUCAUCAUCACCUAGGUUACAGCUAUAUGAGCUAGGCUAUAUGCAAAUGAUUAGAGUUCAUAUACUAUUAGAUUAAUUAUAGUAUUUUAUUUCCGAUAGUGAAUUUUGUAAUUUCUGUGUCACAAUAUGUUGUUCAAUCUCAUUCAUGGCGUUUAAUGCUUAAAAAGUAGCAUUUGAGCAUGAAUCAUUAAUUAAUGCAGGUUCAUAUCAUUUUUUUUUCUCUUUACGUUUUUGAAAACAGAACGUUCAGAACACAUUUCCGCUUAAAGGUUGAGUCUUGUUAUUUAGACCUCAUGCAAAUAUCCUCGCAUGAGAGAAGGGAUGAAGCCUAUAUUUUCCUCCAAAGCUCAAUCAAAUUAUACGCAAAUGAUAUUUAUAUUAUUUUGUGACAACCCUAGGCUACAGUGCAGAACUUCAUAGGUUUACAUUUACACAUUAAUUCAAUUUAAGAUUAUUCCACUGGUAAUGUGUGUUUUUUUGUGGGGCACAGAAUCAUUUCAUUUUCUGCCACCACCGGGCGGUUAAUGUCUGACUAACGGAACAGAGAGCAGGGAGGGAAGCAGCUACUGAGUGUACGGUGCACGGUUGGCUCGCUCAUGUUACAUUUCAUACAUCAACUCUCUCACAUCCUCCUCGAGGCUCGGCUACAAAUGCUGCCUAUUGUUUCCUCAGUCAUAUAGUAGGCUAAACUAGACGAAGCGGAACAUAUUUUGAAUAGGCGACACGUUGUGGCGAUUGUCGCUCAUUUUACAAUAGUUUCAUAGACAUUCAACCCUUCGUUAUCCUCGUGUAGUUUAUUCUAUGUGCGCAAUUUAUUGUUCUCUUUGUCAUAGGCUAAAGAAGACCAGAUUCUGUCAUAUAGCCUUGCCUACAUUUCGAUCCGUUGUGAUGAAUAGCAUCUCCGAAAGACGAGUUGAUCUUCAAGGCUGGCAGGGGACAUAAAUAAUUGAGGUUGUGUGUGGGUGAACAUAAAGAACAGUGUCUGCGGUCGUGUAGCCAGCCUGCAUGUGGCUGGCAUAAUACAUUCUCCUUCAAUCGAUAGUGGGUGUCGAUUGUAUGAUCAAUCGAUUAUGCCAUAGAUGGGUUAUGGUUUGGCAUGGUGUAACGGUGUAACAACGCCUGCUAUUGUAUGUCUGAUGAUGAUUCAGAGUCUACCUCAGACAGCCACUUGGGUUUAUACGUUAAACAGCUUCGUUUUCUGGCUUUGCCAUACAAUCCCUUUACCACGAGAAACGGGGCAACUUUCUAUUUCAUUUCCUACAUUCAUUUCUGGCGUUCUCAGUAUGCUCAGAAACGUAACCGAAGACACCUCCACGAGUCUUAAAUCCGUGUGUAGUCUACUAGAGAUGUGUUACAUUGCAGCCUAUGACUAAAAAAAAAAGAUAUUCCGUUAAAUGCCGAUGAGAGAAAAAUUGGCAAAUUUCCAGGACCCAGUUUAUAGGUAAUCACUGGGGUUCAGGUAAUCACUAGGCUUCAGGUAAUCACUAGGCUUCAGGUAAUCACUAGGCUACAGGUAAUCACUGGGGUUCAGGUAAUCACUAGGCUACAGGUAAUCACUAGGCUUCAGGUAAUCACUAGGCUACAGGUAAUCACUGGGGUUCAGGUAAUCACUAGGCUUCAGGUAAUCACUAGGCUUCAGGUAAUCACUAGGCUACAGGUAAUCACUGGGGUUCAGGUAAUCACUAGGCUUCAGGUAAUCACUAGGCUUCAGGUAAUCACUAGGCUACAGGUAAUCACUAGGCUUCAGGUAAUCACUAGGCUACAGGUAAUCACUGGGGUUCAGGUAAUCACUAGGCUUCAGGUAAUCACUAGGCUUCAGGUAAUCACUAGGCUACAGGUAAUCACUGGGGUUCAGGUAAUCACUAGGCUUCAGGUAAUCACUAGGCUUCAGGUAAUCACUAGGCUACAGGUAAUCACUAGGCUACAGGUAAUCACUAGGCUUCAGGUAAUCACUAGGCUACAGGUAAUCACUAGGCUUCAGGUAAUCACUAGGCUUCAGGUAAUCACUAGGCUACAGGUAAUCACUAGGCUACAGGUAAUCACUAGGCUACAGGUAAUCACUAGGCUACAGGUAAUCACUAGGCUUCAGGUAAUCACUAGGCUUCAGGUAAUCACUAGGCUACAGGUAAUCACUAGGCUACAGAAGCUACGUUUGCGUCGCUCUUUAACUUUGGUAAAACAUGAUUGAAUAUAGUGGUGUCAGUGAAGGCUA